AGUACCAAACCACCUUGUCACAUUUGUCAAUCAAGUUAUAAGACAACUAAUUUAGGCCAUUGAACACCACAGCUAACUUUUCCAAUUGGCUGGAAUAGAAACCCAGGAACCUAUGAGCUGCCAGUAAGAGUUUUAAAUAUCAAAUGGGGCCCAGGGUUCAAAUAGUAUGUGUUUUUUUCAUAUACUGUACUUUGAGUGUUUGAUUGAGCCUCACUUGAGUGUGAGAUGGGCGGCACAUUUGUAAUUUUGGGACUAUUCCAUUGGUUCAAUUGUGCCAAGCAAGCUUAAUCAGGCACAUCUAACUUAUCUGAAAAAAUAAACAAAUACUAUUUUAACCCAUGUCUGCAGAUGCAAGCAGUGAUGAAAUCUGGGCCCAACAUUUAAUAGUAGCUCAUAAUGUAGGCCCUAAAGAUUUCUUUAAUUUGGUAUGUUCAACAUCAACUAGAGGUCAAGAGAAAAGACCAUACUUGAAGGCCCCUCUUUCAACUAUUGUACUCUCCUUGUGUGCCAUGUAUGCAAUUGCAUCCCUCCUCCCCUUCUUUGCCUUCAGCAUAAUACCUCAUAGGUUCUUCUGAGGAUCUUCUGAUGACACGACAAACACUAGCGCUACCUGCAGCCCUUGGCUUCCUCUCUUCCAUAAUCCUCAUUAUUAACUCCAUUCUGAUGAAUGAGAGCAGACCCAGACACAUGCUUCAGCUCCGAUUGUAUAAAAAGAGAAAAAGGUGCUCUACUGAGGAUUUAGAAAUCCAAAAAGAAGCAUCUUACCCCAGAACCCUUCACAAGAUCACUAUCCCAGAAAACUUGGUUAAUGAGUUGGACAUCAUAAGAGGUCAAGGAUCACAGCAGGCAGGCCUACUUCUAUCCCUGCUCAACCCCACUUUAUCUCGGCCUCGGAGGAGACUUGGAUCCCGAGGCAGAAGAUGAUGUGUACGGAGGGUAGAGUGGAGACAGGCGUCUCUUGAGUUAGAUGUGACCUGAUGCGACGUGCACUUGCAACUGCCUUAAUGGAAGAUACUUUUUCCACAUCCAGAGCAGUCAAUGUUAACCUUAUUGUUUUGUUUUUCUUCGUUUGUCAGUGGGUUUUGAGAUUAUUUUUUUGUAAUGACAAGCACUAUAAAACAAAUUCUAGAUCAUUAUCGCCCGUCUAUUGUAAUUUGUCUUGGUUUAUUAGAUUUUUAUUUGUGUCUUAGCAGUAAAUAUGAUUAAAUAACUUGAACAUGA